AUCCAGACUCCUACGGGAGGCAGCAGUGAGGAAUAUUGGUCAAUGGGCUUACGCCUGAACCAGCCAAGUCGCGUGAGGGAAGACUGCCCUAUGGGUUGUAAACCUCUUUUGUCAGGGAGCAAUUGGCGCUACGUGUAGCGUUAUCGAGAGUACCUGAAGAAAAAGCAUCGGCUAACUCCGUGCCAGCAGCCGCGGUAAUACGGAGGAUGCGAGCGUUAUCCGGAUUUAUUGGGUUUAAAGGGUGCGUAGGCGGGAUGCCAAGUCGGCGGUAAAAAUGCGGUGCUCAACGCCGUCGAGCCGUUGAAACUGGCGUUCUUGAGUGGGCGAGAAGUAUGCGGAAUGCGUGGUGUAGCGGUGAAAUGCAUAGAUAUCACGCAGAACUCCGAUUGCGAAGGCAGCGUACCGGCGCCCAACUGACGCUGAAGCACGAAGGCGUGGGUAUCGAACAGGAUUAGAUACCCUCGUAA
rnacentral:rRNA from 1 species